CGAUUGAAAGUUUAAGUUUAAACACUGUGCUGUAAACACAGAAUAUGAGUAUAAAACUCUCAAUCGA
rnacentral:tRNA from 1 species